rnacentral:misc_RNA from 1 species
AAGAGACGUUGCCCUUCGGGGUAUACCUCCCACCCUUUGUUUAUUAUACCUUUGUUGCUUUGGCGGGCCCGUCCUCGGACCACCGGCUUUUGCUGGUCAGUGCCCGCCAGAGGACCUAAAACUCUGUUUGUUAAUAUUGUCUGAGUACUAUAUAAUAGUUA